rnacentral:rRNA from 1 species
UACGUAGGGUGCGAGCGUUGUCCGGAAUUAUUGGGCGUAAAGAGCUCGUAGGCGGUUUGUCACGUCGGCUGUGAAAACCCGAGGCUCAACCUCGGGCCUGCAGUCGAUACGGGCAGACUAGAGUUCGGUAGGGGAGACUGGAAUUCCUGGUGUAGCGGUGAAAUGCGCAGAUAUCAGGAGGAACACCGGUGGCGAAGGCGGGUCUCUGGGCCGAAACUGACGCUGAGGAGCGAAAGCGUGGGGAGCGAACAGG